rnacentral:tRNA from 1 species
GCUAACGUAGCUUAAUUAAAGCAUAACACUGAAGAUGUUAAGAUGGACCAUAAAAAGUCCCGUAAGCA